rnacentral:rRNA from 1 species
GACGAACGCUGGCGGCGUGCUUAACACAUGCAAGUCGAACGAAGUGGCGAACGGGUGAGUAACGCGUAAUCAACCUGCCCUUCAGAGGGGGACAACAGUUGGAAACGACUGCUAAUACCGCAUACUGAAGGAGGGGAUUGCGUCUGAUUAGCUCGUUGGAGGGGUAACGGCCCACCAAGGCGAUAAUCAGUAGGCGGUCUGAGGGGAUGAACGGCAAAAUUGGGAAUGAGACAAGGCCCAGGAUCCGAAGGGAGGCAGCAGUGGGGAAUCUUCCGCAAUGGACGAAAGUCUGACGGAGCAACGCCGCGUGAGUGAUGACGGCCUUCGGGUUGGAAAGCUAUGUUAAUCGGGACGCGGUACCGGAAUAGAAAGCCACGGCUAACUACGUGCCAGCAGCCGCGGUAAUUC